rnacentral:lncRNA from 1 species
GCCCUCUAGCAGCUUCCGGUAGUGGCCACCCUUUGAGACCUGGUGAAAGAUAAUCCGGAGCAAUUAUGUUCUGCAGUAAAAAGAAAUCACUCGAAGCAGAACGGAUAGUAAAAGCCAAUGACCGUGAAUAUAAUGAGAAGUUCCAGUACACAGUGAGUAAAAUACACAUAGCACACACAUGGUGGGGGAAGGUCUUACCUUAGGGAUAGUAGGAUUCAUGCCUUCUAGAACUGUGACUUUAGUGAAAACUUUGUUGGCAUAUUUUUAGUAGGAAGGUGCCAUAUAUUUCUAUAAAUUCAGAUUUUAGUAAUGUUUAUCCAUUUACUUCCAUUCUGCUCCGAGUGGUUGGUAUUCAAAUUGGUAUGAGAAUAAGAUAAAGUACCUUCUUUCAUAAGAAUUGAUGCUUAUUUUGUUUUGGUGCCCACUGGACAUGAGGAAAAUGUAAGAAUACUAUGAAAACAGGCCUUUGUGGUUGUACCUGGUGAAGGAAAUGGUAGUUGUGGCUGCUGGGUGAUGAGUAACAUUUUGGGAUUUUUCUGUAAGCAACUCAGGCUGAAUAUGGAAAAAUACAUGUAGGAGAAAAUUCUCAGACCUGAAUGACUGUAUUUACCAAGUGAGCAGUGAGAAUGAUUAGUUAAAAUGUGUGGAGAUUCAAGCUUGUACUGAACUACUUUUUUUAAAAUGAGGGUUUUCUCCACUUCCAUAAGAAAUACUUCUUGAGAGUCUACUACUGGCACUAUUCUAGGAAUUUAGGAUAUAUUGGUGAACACUUCAUGAAUUAUAUCAUGG